rnacentral:rRNA from 1 species
UACGUAGGGUGCGAGCGUUAAUCGGAAUUACUGGGCGUAAAGCGUGCGCAGGCGGUUCGCCGUGUCCGAUGUGAAAGCCCCGGGCUUAACCUGGGAAUGGCAUUGGAAACUGGCGGGCUGGAGUAUGGCAGAGGGGGGUGGAAUUCCACGUGUAGCAGUGAAAUGCGUAGAGAUGCGGCGGAACACCGAUGGCGAAGGCAGCCCCCUGGGCUGAGAUUGACGCUCAGGCACGAAAGCGUGGGGAGCAAACGGG